rnacentral:lncRNA from 1 species
CCCACAGUGGGUGCUCAGGGAUGUAGGCUGUAGGGCUCCAGGCUCUGAGUUGAGGAAAAUUGGAGUUAAAUUUCAGUGAAGUAACCCUGAGCAAGUCAGUCUCUGUCCAUCAGGUUCUUUUGUUUGUAAAAUGGAGGUAGCCAUGAGGAUUGUUCUGAGAAUGAGUUAAAUGGAAAGAUAUGCUCAAGAUGCCAGCGCAAAGCCAGAGACUCAAGGUUCGCAGCUGGUUGGAGCAAACCUCAAUGUCAGUGUGAAUCUUCCACCAUGGGAUUCAAGCUGCCUUGGCUCUAAAGUAAGAUCACAGCUGCAGUGAGCUGACCCCAACUCAAGAUGGAACCAUCUUAGAACAAGCUCUUAGGAUAAAAAGCCAAAGCUCUCUAAUGUGUUCUGUGAUAAAGAAGACUAUGGAACUGACAGUCCAAACCGAGAAACUGGGGAGAGAGAGGAGGCAUUAUUGUCAACUCCAGGUCAUCCAACCUGUUUUAAGCUUUUUGUCAGCAAGAACCAGCCCUAUUUUAUUCAGCCCUGGAGCGGCCUCUCCACCAGGCACACAGCUUAGCACAAAGCAGGCCUCAGAUGCACGCUGGACAAAUGUGCUGGUAUCCUCUGCAUCCUUAUGGCCAGCAUGAUCCAUCCAGAAACCCAGUGGAACUGAGCCGCGAGCUGGAUUCCAGCUCACAGAACACACCAAGAACUCUGGUGAAACAUCAAGAACUCUGGGGGGUCCCCCCAGAAAAAUCUGGGGGGCACUGCAGAGCUUCUGACACGGCUCUGGGGGAAAUCCCACACGGAUGGGCAGCUGCCUGCAUCUGGCACUGUGGAGGUGGGCGGGCAGCCAUGGAGGAUGGGGAGACUCAUCUUUCUAGACUUCUCCUGGGGACCGCAUUUCCUCCAGCCUCCAGGUCCAGACCAAAAUAGAAUGAGGUAAAUUCAGCCCCUUUCCUGAAGCACACUCAAGGAAUAAACAAG